GACGAACGCUGGCGGCGUGCUUAACACAUGCAAGUCGAACGGAAAGGCCCUGCUUUUGUGGGGUGCUCGAGUGGCGAACGGGUGAGUAACACGUGAGUAACCUGCCCUUGACUUUGGGAUAACUUCAGGAAACUGGGGCUAAUACCGGAUAGGAGCUCCUGCUGCAUGGGGGGGGUUGGAAAGUUUCGGCGGUUGGGGAUGGACUCGCGGCUUAUCAGCUUGUUGGUGGGGUAGUGGCUUACCAAGGCUUUGACGGGUAGCCGGCCUGAGAGGGUGGCCGGCCACAUUGGGACUGAGAUACGGCCCAGACUCCUACGGGAGGCAGCAGUGGGGAAUAUUGCACAAUGGGCGGAAGCCUGAUGCAGCAACGCCGCGUGCGGGAUGACGGCCUUCGGGUUGUAAACUGCUUUCGCCUGUGACGAAGCGUGAGUGACGGUAAUGGGUAAAGAAGCACCGGCUAACUACGUG
rnacentral:rRNA from 1 species